rnacentral:misc_RNA from 1 species
AGGUGAACCUGCGGAAGGAUCACUAGUGAAUUAAACAUGCUUGGUGUCUUCGCUUCGGCAAGGCCCUUGCUUAAAUCACAUCCUAACACCUGUGAACUGUAAGACGUAUGAUGAGGUCUUUGGCCAAGUCAUCGUCUGCCCAUUUUUAACAAACAAUUAAUGUAACAAACGUAGUCUUAUUAUAACCUAAUAAAACUUUCAACAACGGAUCUCUUGGCUCUCG